GCGCCUAAUGCAUGCAAGUCGAACGCUCUGUGCCCGCAAGGGUGCAGGGAGUGGCAGACGGCUGAGUAACGCGUGAGCGACCUGUCCUGUGGUGGGGAAUAACCGUGAGAAAUUGCGGCUAAUUCCGCAUGAAGUGGAAGGGGUUCCUGUCCACCAAAGCCGAAAGGCGCCAGAGGAGGGGCUCGCGUCCUAUCAGGUAGUUGGUAGGGUAAUGGCCUACCGAGCCUACGACGGGUAGCUGGUCUGAGAGGACGGACAGCCAGAUGGGGACUGAGACACGGCCCCGACUCCUACGGGAGGCAGCAGCAGGGAAUAUUGGGCAAUGGGCGAAAGCCUGACCCAGCGACGCCGCGUGGGGGAAGAAGGUCUUCGGAUCGUAAACCCCUUUUGUCAGGGAAGAAGCACUGACGGUACCUGAUGAAUAAGCCUCGGCUAAUUACGUGCCAGCAGCCGCGGUAAAACGUAGGAGGCGAGCGUUAUCCGGAAUUAUUGGGCGUAAAGAGCGCGUAGGCGGCAGAGUAAGUCAGGUGUGAAAUUUCCCAGCUUAACUGGGAAGGGUCAUCUGAUACUGUUCUGCUUGAGGGCAGCAGAGGGAGGUGGAAUUCCCGGUGUAGUGGUGAAAUACGCAGAUAUCGGGAGGAACACCAGUGGCGAAGGCGGCCUCCUGGGCUGCACCUGACGCUGAGGCGCGAAAGCAUGGGGAGCGAAGCGGAUUAGAUACCCGCGUAGUCCAUGCUGUAAACGAUGGGCACUAGGUAUGGGGGGUAUCGACCCUCUCUGUGCCGAAGCUUACGCUUUAAGUGCCCCGCCUGGGAA
rnacentral:rRNA from 1 species